AUCAAGCCAUAUGACAGACGUCACUGAUUUCUCUGGUCAAGCUCUCACAGAUGAUGUCACCUCCCUCCACACACCACUGCAAUACUUCCAAAAGUUUGUGUCAGAAGAUUUGGUUCAAGCUCUGGCAACAAAUACGAAUGAGUACAGCAUUCAAAAUGACGAAAGAUCAGUCAACACUAAUACAAAAGAAAUACAGGCAGCAUUGGGUAUGUACCUGAGGAUGGAACAUUACAUUUUGUAAACAAUUUAACCAUGCCAGAGACUGAAAAGAGGGACAAACUCUGGAAACUCAGACCACGGCUUGAUUCACUCAGAGAAAACUGCCUGCAGGUGGUACCAGAAGAGCACAUUCCAUGGACAAGAUGAUGAUACCCUUCAACGGGAAGUUCAGCAGCAUCAAGAAGUAUAUGCAAGGUAAUCUACGCUCAUGAGGCUUUAAAGUAUGGGUGAAAGCUGGAAUCUCAGGGUGUCAGGUGAUGACAGGUGAAUUGUCAGGUGAUGUUGUAAUGAAGCUUGCCUCCACAUUUCCAAAGGGUCAACACAACAAGAUCUAGGCAGAUAAUUACUUCACCUCCGUUCCACUGGUAGUGAAGCUCCUUGAGCAAGGAAUCCAUUAUGUGGGAAAGGCCAGGCAAGUGCAUCUACCCAUCUAACUGUAACAUUUACAUGUGAAGAGCUUGAAGAAGAAGGGCAGAGGAAGCUUUGACCACAGAGUGGAGGGGAAACAACAUCUGUGCAGUAAAAAUGGUACAACAACAGGGCGGUGACACUUGUGUCAUCCUUCGCUGGACCAGAACCUGUUCAGGAGAUUCAACACUGGGACAAAGCCGCCAAAACCUACAUUGACGUUAGAAAGGCUUCCAUUGUGGGCAUCUACAAUAAAUACAUGGGAGGUGUGGAUUUGUUGGACUCAUUUACAGCAAAACACAAGUAUGCACUGAAAUCCUGGCGGUGGUACAUGUACAUCUUCUGGCACACAAUCACCCUUGCUGUAGUCAACGCCUGGCUCCUCUACAAGCAGCACAGCCUAUGCUCUCAGAAUGCCAAAGAAGGAGAUACUGAACAUGAGAAAGUUCGAAGCACAGCUGGCUUCCUCUCUCAUUACGAGGACAGGAACCAUUUCUGGGAUUACCACUAUAAGUAAAGGUGGACUUCACGCUGAGCACACAGAUUUCAGUGGAGAGUGAGAGAACACUGCAGACAUUGCACUGUUAACAAUCUUGAUGGGCACCUCUUCGGACCUGACGUGCUACCCAGCUACGCAAACGCAGCUAAGUGGAUGUACUCUCUUGUGAUUGGCCAGAGUGAUCACGAGUCUACGGAUGUUUGGGUCUCAUUGCUGAAAGAGUGCAUGAAUCGGUGGAAAAACCCCA